UGAUCACCAGCUGAAGGAUCACAGCCCCCAAGAUCAGCUUCCUCAUUGUUCCAGCAGUGAACGGCUCGGAUGUGUUGAGG